CCUACGGGAGGCAGCAGUGGGGAAUAUUGGACAAUGGGCGCAAGCCUGAUCCAGCAAUGCCGCGUGAGUGAUGAAGGCCCUAGGGUUGUAAAGCUCUUUUACCCGGGAAGAUAAUGACUGUACCGGGAGAAUAAGCCCCGGCUAACUCCGUGCCAGCAGCCGCGGUAAU
rnacentral:rRNA from 1 species